rnacentral:rRNA from 1 species
GGGCCCGCACAAGCGGUGGAGCAUGUGGUUUAAUUCGACGCAACGCGCAGAACCUUACCAGGGUUUGACAUCCCGCGCUAAACUCAGAGAUGGGUGGUCCCCGCAAGGGGCGCGGAGACAGGUGCUGCAUGGCUGUCGUCAGCUCGUGUCGUGAGAUGUUGGGUUAAGUCCCGCAACGAGCGCAACCCUCUCCUUUAGUUGCCAUCAUUCAGUUGGGCACUCUAAAGGGACCGCCGGCGACAAGCCGGAGGAAGGUGGGGAUGACGUCAAGUCCUCAUGGCCCUUACACCCUGGGCUACACACGUGCUACAAUGGCGGUGACAAUGGGCAGCGACCACGUGAGUGGAUGCGAAUCCCAAAAAACCGUCCCAGUUCAGAUUGCACUCUGCAACUCGAGUGCAUGAAGGCGGAAUCGCUAGUAAUCGCAGAACAGCAGGCUGCGGUGAAUACGUUCCCGGGCCUU